rnacentral:rRNA from 1 species
GAUGAUCGCUGGCGGCGUGCCUAAUACAUGCAAGUCGAACGCUUUGUGGUUCAACUGAUUUGAAGAGCUUGCUCAGAUAUGACGAUGGACAUUGCAAAGAGUGGCGAACGGGUGAGUAACACGUGGGAAACCUACCUCUUAGCAGGGGAUAACAUUUGGAAACAGAUGCUAAUACCGUAUAACAAUGACAACCGCAUGGUUGUUAUUUAAAAGAUGGUUCUGCUAUCACUAAGAGAUGGUCCCGCGGUGCAUUAGCUAGUUGGUAAGGUAAUGGCUUACCAAGGCGAUGAUGCAUAGCCGAGUUGAGAGACUGAUCGGCCACAAUGGGACUGAGACACGGCCCAUACUCCUACGGGAGGCAGCAGUAGGGAAUCUUCCACAAUGGGCGAAAGCCUGAUGGAGCAACGCCGCGUGUGUGAUGAAGGGUUUCGGCUCGUAAAACACUGUUGUAAGAGAAGAAUGACAUUGAGAGUAACUGUUCAAUGUGUGACGGUAUCUUACCAGAAAGGAACGGCUAAAUACGUGCCAGCAGCCGCGGUAAUACGUAUGUUCCAAGCGUUAUCCGGAUUUAUUGGGCGUAAAGCGAGCGCAGACGGUUAUUUAAGUCUGAAGUGAAAGCCCUCAGCUCAACUGAGGAAUUGCUUUGGAAACUGGAUGACUUGAGUGCAGUAGAGGAAAGUGGAACUCCAUGUGUAGCGGUGAAAUGCGUAGAUAUAUGGAAGAACACCAGUGGCGAAGGCGGCUUUCUGGACUGUAACUGACGUUGAGGCUCGAAAGUGUGGGUAGCAAACAGGAUUAGAUACCCUGGUAGUCCACACCGUAAACGAUGAGUGCUAGGUGUUUGAGGGUUUCCGCCCUUAAGUGCCGCAGCUA